rnacentral:rRNA from 1 species
UACGUAGGGUGCAAGCGUUGUCCGGAUUUAUUGGGCGUAAAGAGCUCGUAGGCGGUUUAGCAAGUCGGGUGUGAAAACUUCAGGCUCAACCUGGAGAUGCCACUCGAGACUGCUAUGACUUGAGUCUGGUAGGGGAGCACGGAAUUCCUGGUGUAGCGGUGAAAUGCGCAGAUAUCAGGGAGGAACACCGGUGGCGGAAGGCGGUGCUCUGGGCCAGUACUGACGUGGAGGAAGCGAAAGCGUGGGGAGCAAACAGG